rnacentral:lncRNA from 1 species
CCCGAACCUGACACACCCCCCGAGGGCGUGGGUUUCAGUGGCUGCUCUCCUCCUCCGGCUGCUGCCUCCCCCGGCCUUCCCCAGGGCCAGUGCUGAGCCCCGGGCACCCAGCUCGCCCGUCCACACCUGCAGCUCUUCCUCUGCUCUCUGCAAAGCAGGCUCUUCUUCCCUGGAUUGUGCUGUUCCCGGACUUUGGCCUCCACCUCCCCUCCUCUCCUCAGCCAGGAAUUCAACCACGGCAGCAUCAAGCGCUCCUCUGACUGCAGACCUAUUAUGUGUCAGGCACAUGCUGGGACCGCAGCUGUGGGCCAGGUAUUAAACUUCACUACCGUUUGAUACCCCUGGUCCUGAGCGUGGGAAGAGCUGCCUCUGCCUGAGCCACCCCCUCGGACAUGCCUGGUCUGGGGCUGGUCAGGGCGCCAGCGGACACCAGCAUCUCCCACGAGGGUGCUGGGGCCUGGGGCGGGUGGAGCUCAGGCCUGAAACCGUGGCUGGGGGAGCUGGUUCUGGGGCCCCCACUGGCCUGCAAAGCCUCAAGUGAAGCUGGUGAGGUGGUCUGGCCCUCGGCACCCAGGAGAGACCCUUCUGGAGGCGGAGUGGGCAGAGCCUGCAGCCCCAGGGCUGUUCAGUGCCUAGUAGCCAGUCUGUGCGAUGGCACAGAGGCACAAGCCAGCUCUGUGAGGCCUCAAGCAGCCCCAGAGGAGGAACUGAAAGGGGGCCAGGCGCGCCGAGAGAGUCCAGAGGGGGAGGAGAUAUUGUCCUCUGGAGCAUAACCACCCCCAGCUGGGCUGCAUUAGAGUCUCCCGGCUCACAGACAUCCUGCUCCAGAGACAGGCGCGGCUUCCCCCCGCCAG